UUAAGGCUUUGGUAGAGUUUGUUAAUCUAGCACUUAUAGACAUGGUUUCAGAAAGCAUAAAUACAAUGGUAGUUCAAGUUUUGUGACAGCUAUAGCAAGUAUUGAGUACAAUGUAUGGUUUCUAUUACAGGGAUAUAUUGCAGGAAUACACCGAGAAAAUAAUACUGCUGAAUGAAGUUGUCCUAAAGGCCUUGUCGAGGUCUUUGAACUUGAAAGAAAACUGCUUUUUGGAUCAAUAUGGUGAAAAUCCAAACAUGGUUACAAGAUUUAAUUACUACCCUCCCUGCCUAAGGCCUGAUCUUACACUUGGAGUCAAACAGCACGCGGAUGGAUCGGCUAUUACAUUUCUUUUGCAGGACAAUGAAGUAGAUGGUCUUCAAGUCCUGAAAGAUGAUCAGUGGUUUAGUGUACCAACUAUUCCCAAUGCUCUUCUCGUUAAUGUUGGUGAUCAAGUAGAGGUAAUCUCCAUAAGGUUGUGUAUUCCACAUAAGUAGAAAUAUAAUUAUAUAAUUUGGACAACAAAAAUACAUUACAUAUUUGUGCGCGAUUGUGCAGAUAAUGAGUAAUGGGAUAUUCAAGAGUCCAAUGCACAGAGUGGUGACUAAUCCAAAACGAGAGAGAACAACCGUGGCUGUUUUCUGUAGUCCGGAUCCUAGCAGGUACAUUGGACCGGCAGAGGAGCUGAUUUCAGAUGCAAGCCCCAGGUUAUACAAGAAGAUCAAAAAUUAUGUUGGUAUCUUUUUUGAGAACUAUCAACUUGGAAAGAGAGCUAUUGAAGCAGUAAAAAUGUAAUAUAGUGUUCUCAGUAUCUUUAAUGUGUAAUAAAUAUGUGAUGGACCAUUUUAAGUGCAUAUGUGCCGCGAGGAUAACACAGACUGUUAGGUACUCUGCAUCCAGAGACCAUUUUACAAUAUUUUGUUUGAUUAUUUUAGUUGUCGCUGUUCAGUGGCAAGCAUCUAAAAAAAAGUUAUCAAUUAAGGACCAUUGACUUCUUCCAAAAUAAAUUAAGCAAACGUUAUCUAAGUUUGAAACAAGCAGCCCCUUGAACAGUUGACCACAUCCACAUGGCCGGAACUCUUGAAUCGCUAGUGUUCAAGCCAGUACAAGAACUGGCCAUGGAUUGUAAAGUACUCCCGGAAAGAUAUAUUCAUAAGUGCCCUGAUGAGGCCUUUUAUGUUGAUCCUCCAGUGAUAGAUAUUCCGGUUAUAGAUCUCAAUUUAAUACAAUUUCCAUCAGCUUCUGCAGAUCAAGUACUUGAAACACUGAGGACAUCUCUAAGUUCAUGUGGUUGUUUUCAGGUUUUUCAUUUUCUUAAAUCGAAGCAAACACAGUUUUUUUAUGUGUCCGAUGAUUCUGAGGUGUUAAUUCUUUUCGUUCAUCCAGGUAAUUGGUCAUGGAAUGACAAGUUCAUUUCUUGACCAAGUGCAUAGUAUUGGCAGAGACUUCUUUGCACUUCCUUUGGAGAAAAAGCUCGAGUGCUCAAGGAGUGCCGAGGAUAUUGAAGGAUAUGGGAAUGAAUCAAUGCAGUCAGAGCAUCGAAUUCUGGAUUGGGCUGACCGCUUGUAUCUUACCACAAACCCUGAAGAUCAGAGGAAGUUUCAGUUUUGGCCUCAAAAUCCGGAAAAUUUUAGGUAAUAACUCUUGUGAUAAUUGACUUGGUUUCAAUAAGCAUGAGUGUACAUAUACUUCAAACUUUGUGUCAAUUGACAAGAUAUAACCUAUGGUUUCGUAGGGAAAUAUUGCAGGAAUACACAAAUAAGUUAAUUUUGUUAAACAAAGUUGUCUUAAAGGCCAUGUCAAGGUCAUUGAACUUGAAAGAGGACUGUUUCUUAGAUCAAUGUGGUGAAAAUACAGACAUGAUUACAGGAUUUAACUACUACCCUCCCUGCCCAAGGCCUGAUCUUACACUUGGAG
rnacentral:lncRNA from 1 species